GUGCUUGCUUUGGCAGCACAUAUACUAAAAUUCAAACAUACA
rnacentral:snRNA from 1 species